ACACAGUAACAGCUAUGUUGUAUGAUGGUCAGUUGUGAAUGACUUAGCUACUCUGAUUAAGACAGUAGUUAAGUUUUUCACAGUUGAUUAUCCUUACAAUAAGGACCCAUCAGGAAC
rnacentral:precursor_RNA from 15 species